GAAGGUAGCGUAAUCAUUUGUCUUUUAAAUAGAGACCUGUAUGAAUGGCAUAACGAGGGUUUAACUGUCUCCCUCCCCCAGUCAAUGAAAUUGAUCUGCCCGUGCAGAAGCGGACAUAAACACAUAAGACGAGAAGACCCUAUGGAGCUUUAGACAAAAGAUCAAACAUGUAAAGAAACCAAACCAACCAAAAGGAACACAAAAGCCACAAAACCCAACGUAAAAUGAUCAAAAUGUCUUCGGUUGGGGCGACCAUGGGGGAAAGAAAAGCCCCCACGAGGAACUAAGGGCAAUCCAUUAAGCCAAGAGAUACACCUCUAAGCAACAGAAAAUCUGACCAAAAAUGACCCAGGACACUAAUCCUGAUCAACGAACCAAGUUACCCUAGGGAUAACAGCGCAAUCCUUUCCCAGAGUCCAUAUCGACGAAAGGGUUUACGACCUCGAUGUUGGAUCAGGACAUCCUAAUGGUGCAGCCGCUAUUAAGGGUUCGUUUGUUC
rnacentral:rRNA from 1 species